UACAGAGGGGGCAAGCGUUGUUCGGAAUUACUGGGCGUAAAGGGCGCGUAGGCGGCCUUCUAAGUCAGACGUGAAAUCCCCGGGCUCAACCCGGGAACUGCGUCUGAGACUGGAAGGCUCGAAUCCGGGAGAGGGAUGCGGAAUUCCAGGUGUAGCGGUGAAAUGCGUAGAUAUCUGGAGGAACACCGGUGGCGAAGGCGGCAUCCUGGACCGGCAUUGACGCUGAGGCGCGAAAGCCAGGGGAGCAAACGGG
rnacentral:rRNA from 1 species